rnacentral:lncRNA from 13 species
GAAAGUUUUGUGAUUAUUCCACCUUAAGAUACAAGCAAACAAUAACAAAUACCAAGUUAAUUCACUUAACCUAAGAUUAUAAUAAUAAAACAAAUGUAGCUACCUAAUUCGGGUAAAUAGACAUUGAAAGUAAGACUGUUUUCAUUCUAGUGUGACUAAGACUUCCACCAAGAUGGCUGAAUAGGAACAGCUCUGGAGCAAAGACUGGUUAAAGAAAAUGUGGCACACAUACACCAUGGAAUACUAUGCAGCCAUAAAAAAGUUGAGUUCAUAUCCUUUGCAGGGACAAGGACGAAGCUGAAACUAUCAUUCUCAGCAAAAUGACACAAGAACAAAAUCCAAACACUGCAUGUUCUCACUUGUAAGUGGCUAUUGAACAAUUAGAACACAUGGACACAAGGAGGAGAACAUCACAGAGCAGGGCCUGUUGAAGUUAACCAAGAAAAGAGGAAGCUUGACUUGGGCCAGAUGACUUAUAUUGAAAUAGGGGAGAGACUCAGUGAAAUCAUACAAUCAUCACUUUCAGAGGGCACUGGAUGGUACUCAUGGGACAUGAGUGAGUUAAUUUGCUUUCUAUGCAUGUGGAACUACAGGGAAAUAAUUCAGCAAGUUGGAGAUAUCUGGUAUGGAAAGCAUUUAUUUUUUUGCCUUUCCUUUUACCUCUCUCAAUUCCUUUGCUAAUCAGAGUGUCUAAGAAACGUAGCCUUAUUGAGAAAGGUAUCUUUUGGCCUAUGAACUGCUGAGUUCAUUUUUG